rnacentral:rRNA from 1 species
AAUCAUGGCUCAGGACGAACGCUGGCGGCGUGCUUAACACAUGCAAGUCGAACGAGAAUCUGUGGAUCGAGGAUUCGUCCAAGUGAAGCAGAGGACAGUGGCGGACGGGUGAGUAACGCGUGAGGAACCUGCCUUUCAGAGGGGGACAACAGUUGGAAACGACUGCUAAUACCGCAUGAUACAUUUGGGUGGCAUCACCUGAAUGUCAAAGAUUUAUCG